GACAGAGGGUGCAAACGUUGUUCGGAAUUACUGGGCGUAAAGCGUGCGUAGGCGGUCCGCGAAGUCUGAUGUGAAAGCCCCGGGCUCAACCUGGGAACUGCAUUGGAAACUAACGGGCUCGAGUGUGGCAGAGGGGGGUGGAAUUCCACGUGUAGCAGUGAAAUGCGUAGAGAUGUGGAGGAACACCGAUGGCGAAGGCAGCCCCCUGGGCUAACACUGACGCUCAGGCACGAAAGCGUGGGGAGCAAACAGG
rnacentral:rRNA from 1 species